rnacentral:rRNA from 13 species
AAACUAUUUAGGUAGUGCCUCAAGUAUUACCUUCGGGGGUAGAGCACUGUUUUGGCUAGGGGGUCAUGGCGACUUACCAAACCUAUGCAAACUCCGAAUACCGCAGAGUACAGCUUGGGAGACAGAGCACCGGGUGCUAACGUCCGGACUCAAGAGGGAAACAACCCAGACCGCCAGCUAAGGUCCCUAAAAUUGGCUAAGUGGGAAACGAAGUGGGAAGGCUAAAACA